CAUUAAGAGCCAAGAAGGAAUGCCAAGAAUGAGUAUUUUUACUCAAAACCCCUUAACUAUAGCAGUGCUUGGAACCUUAUCCUCCCCAAAAGAAAUGUCUCUGUCCUUUGUCAUAGAGGAGAGUGCUUCUCUUUCACUAUAAGCAGGGAGCUUGGCAAGAUGGGGUUUAGAGUGUGCUUUGAGUGUUCUUUUAUUCUGCACUUUUUGAUUCUCUUUGUAAUAACAUUAGAAUCAAACCACAUGAGUUAAUAAAUGGUAAUCCCACAGACCUUAAUGGAAGAAGAAGGUUCAGUGAGUCUAUUUUUCCUGUAAUGCAGCAAAGAGAGUUCAGAAGAUGAUGCCCACUUCCCUCAACUGCAAAGCUGAGGCUGAAACCCAAGCAGAAAUAUCACACUUGAGUUGGUGUCUCCAGUCAAAGAGAUCUGCCAAAAACUAAAGUACUUGUCCAGAAUAUUGUUGCUCCAGUACCUGAAAAUCCCUCUAGCAUCCAUCCCUACCAGUGGAUGUCUUAGCUGCAAGUGGACCCAGCUGGAAGACACCUCCAGACAAUUUUCUGAGUUACAGGAAGAGUUCAACGGGCAGUGGAGGACCUGGGAAUGUGAGGGGAAGGAAAGUGACUGCCUCUGCCCUCUGAAGUGGAUGUCAGCUGACUAGAGGAAUGGAAGGACCUUUCCCAAGGAAAUUUGUCACCUGCUGAAGGCUGAAGACAUCCCUGAAUGAAAUACAAUUGCACACCAUUCACGGUCUACCUAAAGUCACCCCAGUAGUGUUGUUCCUGCAGCAGGUUUGCCUUCACCAAGAGACCAUCGUUGCUGUUCCACAGCCUGCACUGAGAGAAUUCCUUGGUACCUGUGUGCCUCUCUCCAUUUCAUUUCCCACAUGCAGCUUCUGACAACUCUCUGCUUCCUAACAUCCUUUCCACCUUCCAUCCUGCCUGGCCACUUAUGCCCAGAGAACAGUCCCCUACAAGGCAUAUGUCCUGAUCUGAUAAAAUAGUUUCAGCAUGAGAAACUACAGCAUGUGCCAUUUCCCUGGCACAUUUCACACAUCUUGUGAACCAUUUCAAAGCUCAUAUGCCUUGCCCUUUGGUGGACUCGAGCACAUAUGCAUGACAUUAAACUGUCAUCUCUGCCUUUAGCUAUGUUCUGUGACAUCUCACAUGCUUCUCUGAUUGUAAUUUGACAGAACAAGGAAAGAAUUUCAUUCUUCUCUGCAGAUUUUCUUC
rnacentral:lncRNA from 1 species